CGGAUUGCAUUUGGAACUGGCGAGCUAGAGUACAGGAGAGGAAAGCGGAAUUCCCUAGUGUAGCGGUGAAAUGCGUAGAUAUUAGGAAGAACACCAGUGGCGAAGGCGGCUUUCUGGACUGAAACUGACGCUGAGGCUCGAAAGCGUGGGGAGCAAACAGGAUUAGAUACCCUGGUAGUCCACGCCGUAAACGAUGAGUGCUAGGUGUCGGGGAGGAAUCCUCGGUGCCGCAGCUAACGCAAUAAGCACUCCACCUGGGGAGUACGACCGCAAGGUUGAAACUCAAAGGAAUUGACGGGGGCCCGCACAAGCGGUGAAGCAUGUGGUUUAAUUCGAAGCAACGCGAAGAACCUUACCAAGGCUUGACAUCCCGAUGACCGCUCUAGAGAUAGGGUUUCUCUUCGGAGCAUCGGUGACAGGUGGUGCAUGGUUGUCGUCAGCUCGUGUCGUGAGAUGUUGGGUUAAGUCCCGCAACGAGCGCAACCCUUAUCCUUAGUAGCCAUCAUUGAGUUGGGCACUCUAGGGAGACUGCCGUGGAUAACACGGAGGAAGGUGGGGAUGACGUCAAAUCAUCAUGCCCCUUAUGUCUUGGGCUACACACGUGCUACAAUGGCUGGUAACAGAGUGAAGCGAGACGGCGACGUUAAGCAAAUCACAAAAACCCAGUCCCAGUUCGGAUUGUAGUCUGCAACUCGACUACAUGAGGCUGGAAUCGCUAGUAAUCGCGAAUCAGAAUGUCGCGGUGAAUACGUUCCCGGGCCUUGUACACACCGCCCGUCACACCAUGGGAGUUGGAAGCACCCGAAGUCGGUGAC
rnacentral:rRNA from 1 species